UUAUAUAGAGAUAAAAACACAGUUCGGUUGGUAGUCCGGACCUGUAUAUGAAUAUAAAAAUAUUUACAUAUUUAUAUAUAGCAGUAACCUUCCCUCCUGGGGUCGUCCGUUCUCUAUGAUUCAUGA
rnacentral:ncRNA from 1 species